CAAAAGCAAUAAGGGGUUUACAUAGCUGAACCAUAUGAGUUAACUCGGAUGAAGAAGAAAGCGGAUUAGCCGGGGAAACGAUAACACCUAGAGAGAGGAGUGCGAAGAACACAACUGGAACAUGAAUUGAAGUAGGAGAGAGAACAAAAGCGACAUCGUUUUGUGAAAGGGAAGGGUAACGAGCUUGUAUAGAAGCAGCGAGAUUUUGAGUCUGGUGAAGGAAAUCGGCGUAAGAUAAGCAGUGGCCGGUAUCGGCGUCAAUGAGGAAAGUGGUGGCGCUGAUAUUGAUUCCGGUGGUCGGAGAGUUGAGGAGAGAGAAGGCGUAUUGGACGAUAGAAAGAGGGUCCGUUAACGGCGGCAACGGAACAGAUGGUCUUAAGCUCUUGAAAAUUUUGGUAUCUCCGCAAUAGCCAUUUUUUGGAUCCAUGGAUAUUUUUUAAUACUGUGAAAACUUUGUUUUCAAAAAUGAAGAAGAAGAAAAAAAGGGUCUAUAUAUAGAAUUUCGAUACUAAUUUAUAUGAAUGUAGGAUAAAUAAAUUGAAACGUUG
rnacentral:misc_RNA from 1 species